AUUGAACGCUGGCGGCAGGCCUAACACAUGCAAGUCGAGCGGAUGAAGGGAGCUUGCUCCUGGAUUCAGCGGCGGACGGGGGAGUAAUGCCUAUGAAUCUGCCUGGUAGUGGGGGAUAACGUCCGGAAACGGGCGCUAAUACCGCAUACGUCCUGAGUGAGAAAGUGGGGGAUCUUCGGACCUCACGCUAUCAGAUUAGCCUAGGUCGGAUUAGCUAGUUGGUGGGGUAAAGGCCUACCAAGGCGACGAUCCGUAACUGGUCUGAGAGGAUGAUCAGUCACACUGGAACUGAGACACGGUCCAGACUCCUACGGGAGGCAGCAGUGGGGAAUAUUGGACAAUGGGCGAAAGCCUGAUCCAGCCAUGCCGCGUGUGUGAAGAAGGUCUUCGGAUUGUAAAGCACUUUAAGUUGGGAGGAAGGGCAGUAAGUUAAUACCUUGCUGUUUUGACGUUACCAACAGAAUAAGCACCGGCUAACUUCGUG
rnacentral:rRNA from 1 species